rnacentral:rRNA from 1 species
GAUGAACGCUGGCGGCGUGCCUAAUACAUGCAAGUCGAGCGAACGGACGAGAAGCUUGCUUCUCUGAUGUUAGCGGCGGACGGGUGAGUAACACGUGGAUAACCUACCUAUAAGACUGGGAUAACUUCGGGAAACCGGAGCUAAUACCGGAUAAUAUUUUGAACCGCAUGGUUCAAAAGUGAAAGACGGUCUUGCUGUCACUUAUAGAUGGAUCCGCGCUGCAUUAGCUAGUUGGUAAGGUAACGGCUUACCAAGGCAACGAUGCAUAGCCGACCUGAGAGGGUGAUCGGCCACACUGGAACUGAGACACGGUCCAGACUCCUACGGGAGGCAGCAGUAGGGAAUCCUCCGCAAUGGGCGAAAGCCUGACGGAGCAACGCCGCGUGAGUGAUGAAGGUCUUCGGAUCGUAAAACUCUGUUAUUAGGGAAGAACAUAUGUGUAAGUAACUGUGCACAUCUUGACGGUACCUAAUCAGAAAGCCACGGCUAACUACGUGCCAGCAGCCGCGGUAAUACGUAGGUGGCAAGCGUUAUCCAGGAUUAUUGGGCGUAAAGCGCGCGUAGGCGGUUUUUUAAGUCUGAUGUGAAAGCCCACGGCUCAACCGUGGAGGGUCAUUGGAAACUGGAAAACUUGAGUGCAGAAGAGGAAAGUGGAAUUCCAUGUGUAGCGGUGAAAUGCGCAGAGAUAUGGAGGAACACCAGUGGCGAAGGCGACUUUCUGGUCUGUAACUGACGCUGAUGUGCGAAAGCGUGGGGAUCAAACAGGAUUAGAUACCCUGGUAGUCCACGCCGUAAACGAUGAGUGCUAAGUGUUAGGGGGUUUCCGCCCCUUAGUGCUGCAGCUAACGCAUUAAGCACUCCGCCUGGGGAGUACGACCGCAAGGUUGAAACUCAAAGGAAUUGACGGGGACCCGCACAAGCGGUGGAGCAUGUGGUUUAAUUCGAAGCAACGCGAAGAACCUUACCAAAUCUUGACAUCCUUUGACAACUCUAGAGAUAGAGCCUUCCCCUUCGGGGGACAAAGUGACAGGUGGUGCAUGGUUGUCGUCAGCUCGUGUCGUGAGAUGUUGGGUUAAGUCCCGCAACGAGCGCAACCCUUAAGCUUAGUUGCCAUCAUUAAGUUGGGCACUCUAAGUUGACUGCCGGUGACAAACCGGAGGAAGGUGGGGAUGACGUCAAAUCAUCAUGCCCCUUAUGAUUUGGGCUACACACGUGCUACAAUGGACAAUACAAAGGGCAGCGAAACCGCGAGGUCAAGCAAAUCCCAUAAAGUUGUUCUCAGUUCGGAUUGUAGUCUGCAACUCGACUACAUGAAGCUGGAAUCGCUAGUAAUCGUAGAUCAGCAUGCUACGGUGAAUACGUUCCCGGGUCU